rnacentral:rRNA from 1 species
UACAGAGGGGGCAAGCGUUGUUCGGAAUUACUGGGCGUAAAGGGCGCGUAGGCGGCCUUCUAAGUCGAACGUGAAAUCCCCGGGCUCAACCCGGGAAUUGCGUCCGAUACUGGAAGGCUUGAAUCCGGGAGAGGGAUGCGGAAUUCCAGGUGUAGGCGGUGAAAUGCGUAGAUAUCUGGAAGGAACACCGGUGGCGAAGGCGGCAUCCUGGACCGGCAUUGACGCGUGAGGCGCGGAAAGCCAGGGGAGCAAACAGGG